rnacentral:rRNA from 1 species
UACGUAGGGGGCUAGCGUUGUCCGGAAUCAUUGGGCGUAAAGCGCGUGUAGGCGGUUCGGUAAGUCCGCUGUGAAAGUCGGGGGCUCAACCCUCGAAAGCCGGUGGAUACUGUCGGGCUAGAGUGCGGAAGAGGCGAGUGGAAUUCCUGGUGUAGCGGUGAAAUGCGCAGAUAUCAGGAGGAACACCAAUUGCGAAGGCAGCUCGCUGGGACGUUACUGACGCUGAGACGCGAAAGCGUGGGGAGCGAACAGG